rnacentral:tRNA from 1 species
GUUCCGGUAGCUUAGCGGUCCAAAGCCACCCGCUCAUAACGGGCGGAUCGGGGGUUCGAAUCCCUCCCGGAACACCA